rnacentral:rRNA from 1 species
CGGACGAACGCUGGCGGCGUGCUUAACACAUGCAAGUCGAACGGUGACGAGGAGCUUGCUCCUCUGAUCAGUGGCGAACGGGUGAGUAACACGUGAGCAACCUGCCCCAGACUCUGGGAUAACAGUUGGAAACAGCUGCUAAUACCGGAUACGAGACGGAGAGGCAUCUCUACCGUCUGGAAAGUUUUCGGUCUGGGAUGGACUCGCGGCCUAUCAGCUAGUUGGUGAGGUAAUGGCUCACCAAGGCGACGACGGGUAGCCGGCCUGAGAGGGCGACCGGCCACACUGGGACUGAGACACGGCCCAGACUCCUACGGGAGGCAGCAGUGGGGAAUAUUGCACAAUGGGCGAAAGCCUGAUGCAGCGACGCCGCGUGAGGGAUGACGGCCUUCGGGUUGUAAACCUCUUUCAGCAGGGAAGAAGCGAAAGUGACGGUACCUGCAGAAGAAGCACCGGCUAACUACGUG